AGACCAUGGGGGAGGGGAAGGGGAAAAAUAGUUUUAAACAGUGAGAGGGACAAACCACAAGAGAGCCUUAAAUACAGAGAACAAACUGAGGGUUGAUGGAGGGGACAUGGGUGGGGGAUGGGUGAAAUAGGUGAAGGGG